CAAGGCGGUGCCCCAGCAUGACCCCAGUCUGAUGACUGAAGCAAGCAAAAGAAACAAAAUAAUAAAAUCAAUAUCUGACGUCGGAUGCAUUUAAACUUAGAACGAAGAGAAUCAAAAGAAAUACCACAAAGAAAUCUGCUCGAAGCCAGCUGAGCUUAACGCAGAUAACAAAUGCAGGAAGGAAGCAACAGAUACAAAAUCUAAACAACGAACGUAAGACGAACCACAUGAGCAAAUUAACAACAACUUGAAUAAAAUAUUCAAAUAAAAUUAAAUUAAAAUGAA
rnacentral:lncRNA from 1 species